rnacentral:rRNA from 1 species
GCACAAGCGGUGGAGCAUGUGGUUUAAUUCGACGCAACGCGAAGAACCUUACCAGGGCUUGACAUCCCCUGACCGCGUAUGAAAGUACGUUUUCACCCUCGGGUGACAGGGAGACAGGUGGUGCAUGGUUGUCGUCAGCUCGUGUCGUGAGAUGUUGGGUUAAGUCCCGCAACGAGCGCAACCCCUACGUUUAGUUGCUAACAGGUGAAGCUGAGCACUCUAGACGAACUGCCGUUGACAAAACGGAGGAAGGUGGGAUGACGUCAAAUCAUCAUGCCCCUUAUGUUCUGGGCUACACACGUGCUACAAUGGCCGGUACAGACGGAGGCGAAGCCGCGAGGCGGAGCAAAUCCGAAAAAGCCGGUCUCAGUUCGGAUUGCAGGCUGCAAUUCGCCUGCAUGAAGUCGGAAUCGCUAGUAAUCGCAGGUCAGCAUACUGCGGUGAAUACGUUCCCGGGCCUU